UUCCGGUUGAUCCUGCCGGACCUUACUGCUAUCGAGAUGGGACUAAGCCAGGCCAGUCGAACGACCCGAACUAAGGCGGGAAGUGGCAUACUGCUCAGUAACACGUAGCUAACCUAACCUCAAGACGGAAACAACCCCGGGAAACUGGGGUCAAUUUCCGAUAGAUGUGAAAUCCUGGAAUGGUAUCACAUCCAAACGUCACCACACCAUGUUGUGCGAACGCUUGAGGAUGGGGCUGCGGCCGAUCAGGCUGUUGGUGGGGUAAUGGCCCACCAAACCUUUGACCGGUACGGGCCAUGAGAGUGGUAGCCCGGAGAUGGACACUGAGACAAGGGUCCAGGCCCUACGGGGCGCAGCCGGUACGAAACCUCCACAAUGCACGCAAGUGCGAUGGGGUUAUCUCGAGUGCUACCUUAACCGGUAGCUUUUCCAUUGUCUAAAUAGCCGUGGGAAUAAGGGGGGGGCAAGACUGGUGUCAGCCGCCGCGGUAACACCAGCCCCCCGAGUGGUAGGGAUGAUUAUUUGGCCUAAAGCGUCCGUAGCCUGCUAGGUAAAUUUCUCGUUAAAUCCAACGUCCUAAGCGUUGGGCCGCGUGAAAAACUGCCAAGCUAGAGGGUGGGAGAGGUCAGCGGUAUUCCUGGGGUAGGGGCGAAAUCCAUUGAACCCAGGAGGACCACCAGUGGCGAAGGCUGCUGACUAGAACACGCCUGACGGUCAGGGACGAAAGCUGGGGUAGCGAAUCGGAUUAGAUACCCGAGUAGUCCCAGCCGUAAACGAUGCAGACUAGGUGUUGGGUUGGCCACGUGCCGACUCAGUGCCACAGGGAAGCCAUUAAGUCUGCCGCCUGGGAAGUACGGCCGCAAGGCUGAAACUUAAAGGAAUUGGCGGGGGAGCACCACCAGGCGUGAAGCCUGCGGUUUAAUUGGAGUCAACGCCGGA
rnacentral:rRNA from 1 species